GUGUUGUACGAAAGGAGAGAAGGUUAAUACUCUCCUUAAGAAGAAUGGAAGACGUCUAGUGGCCUUCAAAACGCAUGGGCUCAAUAUGGUGGGGAACGCGUCUGCUAAUUCUCUUGU
rnacentral:ncRNA from 2 species